AAUGCAAUGCAAAUGUGAUCCCGGAUACAUUCCAAAUGUUAGCAGUGUUUAUUUUCAGAAAAUGCAAAAUGCGUGGUUGAGUAGAUAGUGGCGUUGUGAGUUAACUGAUUCUUUUUUGCCAGAUCUAAUACGCAAAAAAUGGCGAAUAAUAUAUUUUCUUCAAGUUCUGUGAGUCUGAAAAUCGGCUUUUUAAUUUUGUUAGUUGUUAUGAUAGUUCACAUAAUUGGAUUUUCUAUACCAAGAUGGAUUACAUUUGAAAUAAAUUUUAGACAGCGCCAACCCGAAUCUUCAUACCACGGCGGUCUCUGGCAACACUGCGGAUGUUCUUCCGUUAUAAGGUCUGAUGUGUGACUUUGUGUUUCAAGGACAAAUGAUCCAGAAUGGUUUAAGACAGUACAAGCUACAGAAACACUUGGUCACAUUGGUCUGGUUUUAUCGGUGUUUAUAUCUGCAAUCAUGCUGUUCUACAAACAAAACAAACGUCACAAGACUCUUAACAUCUGCUGUAUGAUACUGUCAGGUCUGUUGAUUUUCAUUGGUCUGACCUGGUUUGGGAUCAAAUCUAGGGAACAUUUGGACGCAUUUACCCGAUCUGCCAGCCGUAUCUACGAUGAAAUUCCUGUCAGAAAAUUAAGUUAUGCUUAUAUUCUCUGUAUUAUUGCGGGAUUUCUCUGUAUAUUUGUGUGCACGCCUCUCUUUUUCUACGACUUGUACUCGCACAGACCACCACCUGAAACACAAGUUGAUUAUACAACUCGAGGUCAAAUUCAUGUUCCUCAGCAUGGAAAUACAUUUGUUGGUCAACAACCAGUAGGCUUGGCACCAAUACCGAAGCAGGCGCAGUGAGGACCACCGCCAGCGUAUGAACAGUCUGACAAUAGUAGAAUACCGUAUAAAUCGUAACCAUUUUUCUACAUUUUCAAAGAAGAGUCGUUUCUUAUAACAAAUUAUAAUGAACAUAUUUUAAUUCUUAGAAAAACGUUCGCGUCAGUAAAUAAGACAGUAAAAAAGUAUUGUUGUAGUUGACGAGUUCAUCAUAUCGUUCUAGAUUCAUCUAGCAGUCAUAGAAACAAGGCUUCAUCACCUAUAAAACAAAACGAAAAAAUGAAAAUCAUUGUUAAGAGAACAUUGAUCAAACUAAUAAAAUUGUAAUUAUUUAUUAUAACUCCAAAGUUUUCUCCGUUAUGUUACGUAUAAUUUAACAUAUAAUGAUAUGUAUGUAUUGGCUGUUAAAAUAAACGUAGAUUGUUCUUUGAUCUUAACACCUAGAAAUCACACAAUUUUCUUACAAAAUGCGAAAUACUUUAAUCAGUGAUUUUCAUAGUCAUUCAUAUUUUGUUGUAGUUUAGGUGUGCAAUUCCGUGCUAAGAGGUUUACCUUUAGGUACAGGGAUCAUACAGCUUUGAGGCCUAUUUUGUAGUACAAUCUUUUUUUUUUUAUAAAAUAAGUAUUUGUAAAGAAUUAAUUAAGCGGGUCCAGAUAAGCCUCAGCCACAAUCGUGCAUAAAAAUGUAUGUUUAAACUAAUAAAUCAAGAUUUUAAUUGUUAGGGACGUAGACCGGGUAACAAAAUAAAAUAGUUCAGCAAUCUCAUUGCAGCAGUUUUCACCUUAAUGUUUUGCUUGUAAAACAAAAGUUUCAAAGAAUUGAUUGAAGGCAAUUUUCGUAUUUUGAGAUUUUUGAUUACAUUAGGACAUUUUAACUCUCAAUCGAAAAAGCAUUUCUUUAGGGGGGGGGGGGGGUGAGGGGAACAGGUCCGAGUGAGGUCAUUCAAAAUGAUUUUACCCAACGCCUACAGGGGAUAUUACUGCAGUCAACUGUUUAUAUUCUGUCAAGCCAACCAGUAAGUGCUCGUAUGAAACAAAUAUAAAAAUAUCUUUAAUGAAAAGCGUGCAUUAUUUUAUGAAACACAAAAAAGUAAGUUUGUCUAUGAAUUUUUUUCUUUAUACAUUUUUGGAAGAUUUUUUGUGUGAUACAGAGUUGUACUAUAUACUGAAAGAUCCUGUAACUCAAUUUUCUUUUUUUAUAUCAUAGAUAUAAUGAUCAGAUGAAGAUUUAUCAAUGUUGUAAGUUCAAAACAGCAUUAUUUGUAAAGAUAUUACCAGAUUAAAAUUUCAUGUUAAUAAAGGGAGGUUAUCAGAAA